AUAUACAAACACUACUAGGUUACCGGAACCAUCUCACCUGUUAUAGGAUGUAAAUACAUAUAAAAUUGAGAGAUGUUUUUUUAAAUUAACAGGUUAAUUUUCUCAGUGAUGUAUGUGUGUUCCCAGCAUAAUUUUUACAAUGUGUGAACAUAAGGUGAACUUUUAAUCCACAUUGUUGAAUGACAGUUACAAAGUUAGAUAUCUAAACAAUGAUUUUAUCCUCCCAUAUCAGUCAUUUUAUACUGUUCUUUUUAUACCUGUGCAUGAAUGCAUUUCAGCUGCUACAAAUCAAUCAGUCUGGGAUUGGUUCAUUCAGCAGUAGAUUAAGAGGAAUUUGAUUCAUACCAGUUGAAAGGUAUUAAUGUACAAAUCUAGUAAUAGUCACAGCCUGCUAUGCCCCAUGAAUCAUUCAGGGCAGUGAGUGACAUGGACAGCAGUGCUCCCCCUAUUGGUCAGUGCGUCUGGCUAAGAGAAAAGUCCAAGCUUCUGUAUAUGAAGGCUAAGGCUGGUUUCAACUUGCUGUUUGUACAUACACCAGCCAUGCCACCUGCAGGAUCUCUGGAAC